UUUGAAAGCGGCGAGAAAUAUCAUAGAGUUUAGUCUCGUGAGAUCUCGUGGUACGAGGGGUAUGUCACACCCCUAUACAUAUGUUAGGCUGGUGUGUGUAAUUUUCUCUGUUCUCUUGUUUGGUGUGGUAUUGAAGCACUCCUUCUCUCUGUGGUUUCUGGUGUACCCACUGCAUUGCUCCUACUGACAUUUGCCCUGGUCAUGGUUUAUAAAUACAAAUGUCACAAAGUGCGAGGAGCUGGAGCCAACAUGAACAGAAAUGAAACAAGGGCAGCAGAAACAGAGACUGAUGCAGCAGAUAUUUAUGAAAAUGAUGCAGUGCAGGGGUCCUUCAAACCACAGAGCGCCUAUCGACUUGACGAUGAUACAGGUGAAGAAGAAGAAGACUAUGUGAACCUGUAGGAGAUGAACAGCAUGCACAUCUGUGAUAACAUUUCAUUUCAGGGUCACAUCUGUACCUAAAUUAUCCCAAUAAUAUUGUCUCUAUUAACAACACAUAUGCACACACCACUGCAGACCAAACUUUUUAUUGUCUGACUGAAAACUACAGUAAUAUAAUUAUUUGUACGUAUUUGUUCUGUAUUUACAAUCAAAUAUCUUUGUUUUAACUUUUAUUUUACACUUUCGCUUUUACUUUUACAUCCAUUAUAACGGUUUAACAUUCCUGUACUCCUUAUGAAAAAGUUUGCAGAAUGUAAGUUACCAUCAUGUAUAUAUGCAUAUU